UGCCUGCCUGUCCAGCAGGGGACAAGAACGGGCAAACACCCCAAGGACCCCAGGAGUCCUCGGCCGGCUCCUGACAAUGCGUUUCCCGUUGCCCCGCAGC
rnacentral:sRNA from 1 species